AUUGAACGCUGGCGGCAUGCUUUACACAUGCAAGUCGGACGGCAGCACAGAGAAGCUUGCUUCUUGGGUGGCGAGUGGCGAACGGGUGAGUAACAUAUCGGAACGUACCGAGUAAUGGGGGAUAACUAAUCGAAAGAUUAGCUAAUACCGCAUAUUCUCUGAGGAGGAAAGCAGGGGACCUUCGGGCCUUGCGUUAUUCGAGCGGCCGAUAUCUGAUUAGCUAGUUGGUGGGGUAAAGGCCUACCAAGGCGACGAUCAGUAGCGGGUCUGAGAGGAUGAUCCGCCACACUGGGACUGAGACACGGCCCAGACUCCUACGGGAGGCAGCAGUGGGGAAUUUUGGACAAUGGGCGCAAGCCUGAUCCAGCCAUGCCGCGUGUCUGAAGAAGGCCUUCGGGUUGUAAAGGACUUUUGUCAGGGAAGAAAAGGCUGUUGCUAAUACCGACAGCUGAUGACGGUACCUGAAGAAUAAGC
rnacentral:rRNA from 1 species